rnacentral:rRNA from 1 species
AUUGAACGCUGGCGGCAUGCCUUACACAUGCAAGUCGAACGGCAGCACGGGUGCUUGCACCUGGUGGCGAGUGGCGAACGGGUGAGUAAUAUAUCGGAACGUACCUUAUUGUGGGGGAUAACGCAGCGAAAGCUGUGCUAAUACCGCAUAAUCCCUAAGGGGGAAAGCGGGGGACCGUAAGGCCUCGCGCAAUUAGAGCGGCCGAUACCUGAUUAGCUAGUUGGUGAGGUAAAGGCUCACCAAGGCAACGAUCAGUAGCUGGCCUGAGAGGACGAUCAGCCACACUGGGACUGAAACACGGCCCAGACUCCUACGGGAGGCAGCAGUGGGGAAUUUUGGACAAUGGGGGCAACCCUGAUCCAGCAAUGCCGCGUGAGUGAAGAAGGCCUUCGGGUUGUAAAGCUCUUUUGUCAGGGAAGAAACAGCAGCUCUAACACAGUAUGCGAAUGACGGUACCUGAAGAAUAAGCACCGGCUAACUACGUGCCAGCAGCCGCGGUAA